ensembl:lncRNA
UCCGAAGCGGAUGGCUGCCGGCAGGAGCUGAUCAAGAUGGUUUUCUAAAAAAACAUUUUGGAGAAACGUGGCUUAAAAAAAAUUUCUAGGCAGUAGCUAUUAAAGGCUGAACUAAAGAUCAGUAAAGAAAAGAAUCAGAAGAUUGAGAGUAUUUCGUUUUCCCGACGUGGUAAGCCAAACUCUAAAGAUUAACAUUUUGGGAAACUGAGGCAGGUAGAAAUUUGUUUCUCUCUGCAAGGAGUAUUAUAUUUUUAGAAUUUUAAUAAAGGUUGAGAGUUUAAGAAAAUACAAGUAAGAAAGGCAUGUGCUAGGUGGGCCGAGAGGCCCAAUUCAAUUUCACUUACAUCAUGAGAGGUGUCUGCUUGCCAGUGGAGACAGGAAGAGAAGAGAGGCCCAGAAGCCUUUCCAAUCAGGUUAAAUAUCCCAUCUCAAUCUCGGCCUAGGUGAGACUUCAGUGAUAUUACAAAGCAUUCUGGGGAAGUGGAGCAAGGACUUCUGGGUAUUGAAGUCCUGGAUUCAAGUCUCCAUUUUUACAAGAGCCAGUUAUUAAAUUUUCAGUGUAUUUGUACUUGAGAAAUCAGUAACAUUACAAAUCAUGGCUUGUUUUGUUGAUUAUCCAGAUUUAAGGAAGUAACGGAGAAAAUGCUAACGAUGGAGAUUAAACUUUUAAAGGCUCAUUUUUGGAGAGCAGGUUGCUAACUAUUUACCAGCUUAUUCCUGUCUAAACUCCAUCACAAAAAAGAACACUUGGAUGAUGAUGAUGAUAAUGAUGAUGAUGAUGAUGAUGAUGAUGAUGAUGAUGAUGUUGAUGAUGAAACAUUUUAAUUUAAAUCCUGAACAGUGUGUGUCAAAAAUCCAAAUGGCAUCCUAGGCACCUGUGGGGCAUCUAACAAAUAACUGAGGAUUGAUUGACGUGGAUGUACAAGGCUUCAGCUAUUUCUAGGAAGACUGUAAAAGAAUCAAUCAUGGUGAUGUGUGGUGUAAUAAUUAAAAUGUCAACGAUGAUCAUCUGAUGAGCUCUUUUAUUUGUGAUACUUUGUACACUAUAAGGUAAUUUUAUAGCAUUUUCCGUCAUCUCCUCUGACCCACACUAUAUUUCAUAAUUGGCCUCCCCAAGAGAAUCACAGACUCCGUGUAUUGGAAGGGAGUCCAAAGGACAUCUAGGCUUACCUGUGUCUGGAAAGGAGGCCUAUCUGUAGUUUCCUUAAAAUGUAAGUCAUCAAGCCUCUGCCUGAAUACCUCCAAUGGAGUGAGUUAUGCUUACUUUCUGAGAUAGCCCAGACAUCCCACUUUGGGAUGAUUCUAAUUUCUCUUAUAUGAAAACUAAAUCUGAAAUCUCCUAGUGUAGCCCAAGGGAGCAUGAGUGGUCUCAACUGCCACAUCACAUUAUAACUCUAUUUUCACCCUCUCCCAUCUCCAAUCUGUCCUUAUCAAAAUUGCCAAAACAAUUUUCCUAGGGCAUAGAUAGAUCUGUCCAUGUCAUUCUCCUGCUCAAGAAUGGUCAGUGAUUCCCCAUUGUCUCUAGGACAAAAUAUAAACUCCAUAGUUUUACAUAUAAAGACUUUCACAGUUUGAUUCCAACCUACCUCAUUUUAUAUUGUUCCUAUUCAACCAAGCAAUUUUCUAAUCAAACUGGCUGACAUAGUGCUCCUUAAAUUGAGCAUUCUGUCUUUUGCCAAAAAAUUUUUUUUCCGGCUCUUCUGAAUGUCUAGAAUACAUUUUCUCCUCACCUAUCUCUUAAAAUCCUUAGUUUACCUCAAAGGCACAAUUCAUACUUGCUCUUAAGAGAAGUCUGUCCUGAUCCCUAGUUUUUUUUGUGCUUUCAUCCUCCACAUAUCAUAUUAUUUUUGCUUAUAUGUUUAAAUAAGUAA